rnacentral:rRNA from 1 species
ACGGUACCUGAGAAGAAAGACCCGGGCUAACUAUGUGCCAGCAGCCGCGGUAAUACGUAGGGGGCAAGCGUUGUCCGGAAUUAUAGGGCGUAAAGAGCGCGCAGGCGGCUCUUUAAGUCUGGUGUUUAAUACCGAGGCUCAACUUCUGGUCGCACUGGAAACUGGGGAGCUUGAGUGCAGAAGAGGAGAGUGGAGUUUCACGUGUAGCGGUGAAAUGCGUAGAGAUGUGGAGGAACACCAGUGGCGAAGGCGACUCUCUGGGCUGUAACUGACGCUGAGGCGCGAAAGCGUGGGGAGCGAACAGGAUUAGAUAUCCUGGUAGUGCACGCCGUAAACGAUGAAUGCUAGGUGUUAGGGGUUUCGAUACCCUUGGUGCCGAAGUUAACACAUUAAGCAUUCCGCCUGGGGAGUACGGUCGCACGACUGAAACUCAAAGGAAUUGACGGGGACCCGCACAAGCAGUGGAGUAUGUGGUUUAAUUCGAAGCAACGCGAAGAACCUUACCAGGUCUUGACAUCCCUCUGACCGCUGUAGAGAUAGAGCUUUCCUUCGGGACAGAGGAGACAGGUGGUGCAUGGUUGUCGUCAGCUCGUGUCGUGAGAUGUUGGGUUAAGUCCCGCAACGAGCGCAACCCUUAUGCUUAGUUGCCAGCAGGUCAAGCUGGGCACUCUAAGCAGACUGCCGGUGACAAACCGGAGGAAGGUGGGGAUGACGUCAAAUCAUCAUGCCCCUUAUGACCUGGGCUACACACGUACUACA